rnacentral:rRNA from 1 species
GGAAGUUGUAUCAAACUUGGUCAUUUAGAGGAAGUAAAAGUCGUAACAAGGUUUCCGUAGGUGAACCUGCGGAAGGAUCAUUACAAGUGAGGCUACCGAACGUUGGAAACAGCGGUUAGGAGCUUACACCCACCCGUGUUUACAUACUAUUGUUGCUUUGGCGGGCCGUGGCCUCCACUGCGGGCUCUGCUCGUGUGUGCCCGCCAGAGGACCAAACUCUGAAUGUUAGUGAUGUCUGAGUACUAUCUAAUAGUUAAAACUUUCAACAACGGAUCUCUUGGUUCUGGCAUCGAUGAAGAACGCAGCGAAAUGCGAUAAGUAAUGUGAAUUGCAGAAUUCAGUGAAUCAUCGAAUCUUUGAACGCACAUUGCGCCCUGUGGUAUUCCGCAGGGCAUGCCUGUUCGAGCGUCAUUUAACCACUCACGCCUAGCGUGGUAUUGGGGCACGCGGUCUCGCGGCCCUCAAAAUUAGUGGCGGCGCCGGUGGGCUCUAAGCGUAGUACAUACUCCCGCUAUAGAGUUCCCCCGGUGGCUCGCCAGAACCCCCAAUUUUUUACAGGUUGACCUCGGAUCAGGUAGGGAUACCCGCUGAACUUAAGCAUAUCAAUAAGCGGAGGAAAAGAAACCAACAGGGAUUACCUCAGUAACGGCGAGUGAAGCGGUAACAGCUCAAAUUUGAAAGCUGCCAACAGGGCC